GGCCAGACUCCUACGGGAGGCAGCAGUGGGGAAUAUUGGGCAAUGGGCGCAAGCCUGACCCAGCAACGCCGCGUGAAGGAAGAAGGCUUUCGGGUUGUAAACUUCUUUUAAGAGGGAAGAGUAGAAGACGGUACCUCUUGAAUAAGCCACGACUAACUACGUGCCAGCAGCCGCGGUAAUACGUAGGUGGCAAGCGUUGUCCGGAUUUACUGGGUGUAAAGGGCGUGUAGCCGGGCCGGCAAGUCAGAUGUGAAAUCCCGAGGCUCAACCUUGGAACUGCAUUUGAAACUGUUGGUCUUGAGUAUCGGAGAGGCAGGCGGAAUUCCUAGUGUAGCGGUGAAAUGCGUAGAUAUUAGGAGGAACACCAGUGGCGAAGGCGGCUUACUGGACUGUAACUGACGUUGAGGCUCGAAAGCGUGGGGAGCAAACAGGAUUAGAUACCCCGGUACC
rnacentral:rRNA from 1 species